CAAAUUUGAAAUCUGGCCUUCUGGUCCGAAUUGUAAUUUGUAGAGGAUGAUUUUGGUGCGGUACCUUCCGAGUUCCUUGGAACAGGACGCCUUAGAGGGUGAGAGCCCCGUACGGUUGGAUGCCUAGCCUUUGUAAAUCUCCUUCGACGAGUCGAGUAGUUUGGGAAUGCUGCUCUAAAUGGGAGGUAAAUUUCUUCUAAAGCUAAAUAUUGGCCAGAGACCGAUAGCGCACAAGUAGAGUGAUCGAAAGAUGAAAAGCACUUUGAAAAGAGGGUUAAAUAGCACGUGAAAUUGUUGAAAGGGAAGGAUUUAUGACCAGACUUUUUCUAGGCGGAUCAUCCGGUGUUCUCACCGGUGCACUUUGUCUAGUUUAGGCCAGCAUCGAUUUUCGGCAGCGGAUAAAAGCUUCAGGAAUGUGGCUCCUCCGGGAGUGUUAUAGCCUGUUGUAUAAUACGCCGCUGGGGAUCGAGGUACGCGCUUCUGCAAGGAUGCUGGCGUAAUGGUUAUCAAUCACCCGUCUUGAAACACGGACCAAGGAGUCGAACAUUUAUGCGAGUGUUUGGGUGUUAAACCCUCACGCGUAAUGAAAGUGAACGGAGGUGAGAGCCCUUACGGGUGCAUCAUCGACCGAUCCUGAUGUUUUCGGAUGGAUUUGAGUAAGAGCAUAACUGUUCGGACCCGAAAGAUGGUGAACUAUGCGUGGAUAGGGUGAAGCCAGAGGAAACUCUGGUGGAGGCUCGCAGCGGUUCUGACGUGCAA
rnacentral:rRNA from 1 species